rnacentral:rRNA from 1 species
CCUACGGGUGGCAGCAGUCGAGAAUCAUUCACAAUGGGGGAAACCCUGAUGGUGCGACGCCGCGUGGGGGAAUGAAGGUCUUCUGAUUGUAAGCCCCUGUCAUGUGGGAGCAAAUUAAAAAGAUAGUACCACAAGAGGAAGAGACGGCUAACUCUGUGCCAGCAGCCGCGGUAAUACAGAGGUCUCAAGCGGUGUUCGGAAUCACUGGGCGUAAAGGGUGCGUAGGCUGUUUCGUAAGUCGUGUGUGAAAGGCGCGGGCUCAACCCGCGGACGGCACAUGAUACUGCGAGACUAGAGUAAUGGAGGGGGAACCGGAAUUCUCGGUGUAGCAGUGAAAUGCGUAGAUAUCGAGAGGAACACUCGUGGCGAAGGCGGGUUCCUGGACAUUAACUGACGCUGAGGCACGAAGGCCAGGGGAGCGAAAGGGAUUAGAUACCCGAGUAGUC